rnacentral:rRNA from 1 species
UACGGAGGAUUCGAGCGUUAUCCGGAUUUAUUGGGUUUAAAGGCUGCGUAGGCGGCUUUUUAAGUCAGCGGUGAAAUUUUGCAGCUUAACUGUAAAAGUGCCUUCGAAACUGGUUUCCUUGAGUGUAGAUGAAGUAGGCGGAAUUUGUGGUGUAGCGGUGAAAUGCAUAGAUAUCACGAGGAACUCCGAUUGCGCAGGCAGCUUACUAAACUACUACUGACGCUCAGGCACGAAGGCGUGGGGAUCAAACAGGAUUAGAUACCCUGGUAGU